CAGGGGAGAGCGCGAACGCAGCCCCCCACUACCACAAAUUAUGCAGUCGAGUUUCCCGCAUUUGGGGAAAUCGCAGGGGUCAGCACAUCCGGAGUGCAAUGGAUAAGCCUCGCCCUGGGAAAGCCACCUUCGUGAUCAUGGAAUCUCCCCUGCCAGGUAAGGAU
rnacentral:snRNA from 1 species